rnacentral:rRNA from 1 species
UACGUAGGGGGCAAGCGUUGUCCGGAAUCAUUGGGCGUAAAGAGCGUGUAGGCGGUCCGGUCAGUCGGUUGUGAAAGUCAAGGGCUCAACCCUUGAAUGCCGGCCGAUACUGCCGGGCUAGAGUCCGGAAGAGGUGAGUGGAAUUCCUGGUGUAGCGGUGAAAUGCGCAGAUAUCAGGAGGAACACCGAUGGCGAAGGCAGCUCACUGGGACGA